GACAGCAGUCGCCACGGUAAUACGAAGGGUGCAAGCGUUAAUCGGAAUUACUGGGCGUAAAGCGUGCGUAGGCGGUUUGUUAAGUCUGUUGUGAAAUCCCCGGGCUCAACCUGGGAAUGGCAAUGGAUACUGGCAAGCUAGAGUGUGUCAGAGGAUGGUGGAAUUCCCGGUGUAGCGGUGAAAUGCGUAGAGAUCGGGAGGAACAUCAGUGGCGAAGGCGGCCAUCUGGGACAACACUGACGCUGAGGCACGAAAGCGUGGGGAGCAAACAGGAUUAGAUACCCGAGUAGUCCCUGUCUCUUAUAC
rnacentral:rRNA from 1 species